UACGAGGGGGGGCAAGCGUUGUUCGGAAUUAUUGGGCGUAAAGGGCGCGUAGGCGGUGCGGUAAGUCUGAUGUGAAAUCUCCGGGCUCAACUCGGAGUCUGCAUCAGAAACUGCCGUGCUUGAGUGUGGGAGAGGUGAGUGGAAUUCCCGGUGUAGCGGUGAAGUGCGUAGAUAUCGGGAGGAACACCUGUGGCGAAAGCGGCUCACUGGACCACAACUGACGCUGAGGCGCGAAAGCUAGGGGAGCAAACAGG
rnacentral:rRNA from 1 species